GAUGAACGCUGGCGGCGUGCCUAAUACAUGCAAGUCGAGCGAACAGACGAGGAGCUUGCUCCUCUGACGUUAGCGGCGGACGGGCGAGUAACACGUGGAUAACCUACCUAUAAGACUGGGAUAACUUCGGGAAACCGGAGCUAAUACCGGAUAACAUGUUGAACCGCAUGGUUCAACAGUGAAAGACGGUCUUGCUGUCACUUAUAGAUGGAUCCGCGCCGCAUUAGCUAGUUGGUAAGGUAACGGCUUACCAAGGCAACGAUGCGUAGCCGACCUGAGAGGGUGAUCGGCCACACUGGAACUGAGACACGGUCCAGACUCCUACGGGAGGCGGCAGUAGGGAAUCUUCCGCAAUGGGCGAAAGCCUGACGGAGCAACGCCGCGUGAGUGAAGAAGGUCUUCGGAUCGUAAAACUCUGUUAUUAGGGAAGAACAAAUGUGUAAGUAACUAUGCACGUCUUGACGGUACCUAAUCAGAAAGCCACGGCUAACUACGUG
rnacentral:rRNA from 1 species